rnacentral:snRNA from 1 species
UGGUGUCGGCAUUGGGAAGGGAA